rnacentral:lncRNA from 13 species
GUUUCCUUUAGUUCUUCAUACUUGUGGCGGUUCACCCACACCUGUGACCACCCAGAGACCCGAGGAAGAAACAGCUUCAGAAUCAUCAGUCACUUGGAUGACGUGAAAGAUAGGAUGCUUCUUGCACUCAUGCCCAUGUGUUCAAAUGGAAAGUCUCAUAUAACAGGAAGCCUCGCUAACAAAAGACGAUUUUCUGUGAAGUUCUGGCUAAACUAAGAUUUUCUAUGCAGGUAUAGCUACAUUUAUGUCUUUUAAUAAUAGAGUCCAUCCAUCAUGCGAGAUUGAUGAUCCCUGCAGAGGUUAAAAUCCUAGGAAUCAGAAAUUUGGUAAGUUUUUAUAAACAUAAAACAAAGUCUGGUUAACGGUCAAACUGCCAAAAGUAAAAUGCAAUACUAAUUUCUUAGAUAUGAAUGAAUUCCUUGUGGAUAUUAUCAGUAAAGUUUUUUCUUUGCAGGAUCUCUUUCCUUUUCCUUAAUAUUUUCCUUUUAUUGGCCAUGGUUUUUCCUUAAAACAAUCGAUUUAGUAAGCUUAAUUGUACAUAGUAAAAAAUUUAAAAACCUGCAAGUUAUUUUUAUAAUGACUCCAAAUAAUAUCAUCCAUUUUUUCCAGUAAAUGUGUUUUGUCUCUUCAAUUGCCUCUCCUGAUCAAGAAAGCAAAGACUACACUUCAGGACAAAAAGUGAAGAAUAAAUUUGAUUCAUGUUAGUGCCA